CCUACGGGCGGCAGCAGUGGGGAAUAUUGGACAAUGGGGGGAACCCUGAUCCAGCCAUGCCGCGUGUGUGAAGAAGGCCUUUUGGUUGUAAAGCACUUUAAGCGAGGAGGAGGCUACCUAGAUUAAUACUUUAGGAUAGUGGACGUUACUCGCAGAAUAAGCACCGGCUAACUCUGUGCCAGCAGCCGCGGUAAUACAGAGGGUGCGAGCGUUAAUCGGAUUUACUGGGCGUAAAGCGUGCGUAGGCGGCCAAUUAAGUCAAAUGUGAAAUCCCCGAGCUUAACUUGGGAAUUGCAUUCGAUACUGGUUGGCUAGAGUAUGGGAGAGGAUGGUAGAAUUCCAGGUGUAGCGGUGAAAUGCGUAGAGAUCUGGAGGAAUACCGAUGGCGAAGGCAGCCAUCUGGCCUAAUACUGACGCUGAGGUACGAAAGCAUGGGGAGCAAACAGGAUUAGAUACCCUCGUAGUC
rnacentral:rRNA from 1 species